rnacentral:rRNA from 1 species
CGGACGGGUGAGUAACACGUGGGCAACCUGCCUGUAAGACUGGGAUAACUUCGGGAAACCGGAGCUAAUACCGGAUAAUUCAUCCCCUCGCAUGAGGGGUUGCUGAAAGGCGGUUCACGCUGACACUUACAGAUGGGCCCGCGGCGCAUUAGCUAGUUGGUGAGGUAAUGGCUCACCAAGGCGACGAUGCGUAGCCGACCUGAGAGGGUGACCGGCCACACUGGGACUGAGACACGGCCCAGACUCCUACGGGAGGCAGCAGUAGGGAAUCUUCCACAAUGGACGAAAGUCUGAUGGAGCAACGCCGCGUGAGCGAUGAAGGCCUUCGGGUCGUAAAGCUCUGUUGUUAGGGAAGAACAAGUAAGCACUCCGCCUGGGGAGUACGGCCGCAAGGCUGAAACUCAAAGGAAUUGACGGGGGCCCGCACAAGCGGUGGAGCAUGUGGUUUAAUUCGAAGCAACGCGAAGANCCUUACCAGGUCUUGACAUCCUUUGACCUCCCUAGAGAUAGGGAUUUCCCCUUCGGGGGACGGAAGUGACAGGUGGUGCAUGGUUGUCGUCAGCUCGUGUCGUGAGAUGUUGGGUUAAGUCCCGCAACGAGCGCAACCCUUGAUCUUAGUUGCCAGCAUUCAGUUGGGCACUCUAAGGUGACUGCCGGUGACAAAUCGGAGGAAGGUGGGGAUGACGUCAAAUCAUCAUGCCCCUUAUGACCUGGGCUACACACGUGCUACAAUGGGCGGUACAAAGGGCAGCGAACCCGCGAGGUGGAGCCAAUCCCAUAAAACCGCUCUCAGUUCGGAUUGCAGGCUGCAACUCGCCUGCAUGAAGCCGGAAUCGCUAGUAAUCGCGGAUCAGCAUGCCGCGGUGAAAACGUUCCCGGGCCUUGUACACACCGCCCGUCA